rnacentral:rRNA from 1 species
CAGCAGCCGCCGCGGUAAGACAGAGGAUGCAAGCGUUAUCCGGAAUGAUUGGGCGUAAAGCGUCUGUAGGUGGCUUUUCAAGUCCGCCGUCAAAUCCCAGGGCUCAACCCUGGACAGGCGGUGGAAACUACCAAGCUGGAGUACGGUAGGGGCAGAGGGAAUUUCCAGUGGAGCGGUGAAAUGCGUUGAGAUCGAAAAGAACACCAACAGCGAAAGCACUCUGCUGGGACGACACUGACACUAAGAGACGAAAGCUAGGGGAGCAAAUGGGAUUAGAUACCCCAGUAGUCCCUGUCUCUUAUAA